CCUACAAAACCUGCAUCUGCCCCUAAGGAGAGAGACAUAUAUAGACAAGGAAAACUGAAGAUGCAAGAGGGGAAAUAAGGCAUAGAACUAAGUCCUGGAAGUGGACAGAAAGGAUGGGUGAAGAAUUUACUCAAUCAAAGGGAAUCUCCCCUCCACAGAGGAUGGGGGUAGAGGAGAGAAUAGGAGAAGACACCAAGAAAUGUUGCGUUAGAGUGGAAGAUUGUUAAGAGACCUCAUACUGAGUGAAUGACCUUGAUUUCAGCAAGGGUGAGGAUGGGCAAGACAGAUGGACAAGGGAGUGCUGACAAAAAUUGGUUGAAAACUCUGACCGUGGAGUCCCACCUGGACAUGCAUGAAGGACCCCCUCGGUACAUAGUUGUAUAUUCUAGUUGUGAGUGCCUCUGGUUGUGCUAGGUGGGACAUAGCAACAUGACCUGAUGAGCGGUGCCAUGUCCAUGCCCAGGAUCUGAACCGGCAAAACCCCAAGCGGCAUAAGCAGAGCCCACGAACUCAACCACUCGGCCACGGAGACAGCCCCUGGAGAUGAAUUUGAAACAUAGCAUCACUUGUCUCAUUUUUCAUAAAAGUAAAAAAUGAAUAGCCUGUGCCUGCUGAGAUUGCUUAAUAUCUGUUCUUUCAUUCUUGUCAACAAACUUUUUUGAGACUGAUUUCCGUACCAUAAGUAUAACUUUUUAAAAAUGUUGAAACAGUUUACAUAUACAUCAUAUCCUGUGGAUAUCAGUGUUGUCAAUCCAAUCUAGAUUAGAUAAAUUAACAGGAAAAACGCAAGAUGUUUGUCCCAUUAGAAACUUAAGAUACUGAUAUACAUAUUGUUCUUUCAAAAUGUGUGUAGGCAGUUAAUAUGAGCAAUUACUAAAUUCUUCCUAGUUUUUGGUUUAGAUGCCAUUGUGGAACAACAAGAACUUAUGUGUGUAGUAACAAUUCUCUGCAUUAAUAACCUGUGUGCAGACUUUCAAUGAGCAACAUGUACAGUUUUUGUAAUUGUUUUCUUUUUUCUAUGUUAUGUUUCUUCUGAUAGAUAUUUUUG
rnacentral:lncRNA from 1 species